GGCCUUUUGUAUUUAAUUUAAGGUCUGACCUGCCCAGUGAUAAAUUUAACGGCCGCGGUAUCUUGACCGUGCAAAGGUAGCAUAAUCAUUAGUCUUUUAAUAGAGGGCUGGAAUGAACGGUUUAACGAGGGACUAGCUGUCUCAUUUUAUUUGUUUUAAAAUUUAAUUUUUUAGUUAAAAAGCUAAAAUUUUAUUGGUAGACGAGAAGACCCUAUAGAUCUUCAUAUAAUUUUUUGUAUUUAUUUUUAUAUUAACAUAAUUAUAUUAAAAUUUUAUUUUGUUGGGGUGACAAAAAUAUACAUAUAACUUUUUUAUUUAUUUACCAUUGAUAUAUGAGUAUUAGAUCCAUUAUUAUUGAUUGAUAGAAUAAGUUACCUUAGGGAUAACAGCGUAAUCCUCCUCCAGAGUUCAUAUUUACAGGAGGGCUUGCGACCUCGAUGUUGGAUUAAGAUAAUAAUUAGGUGUAGCCGCUUAAUUUAUAGGUCUGUUCGACCUUUAAAUUCUU
rnacentral:rRNA from 1 species